GUGCCAGCCGCCGCGGUAAAACGUAGGAGGCAAGCGUUAUCCGGAUUUAUUGGGCGUAAAGCGUGUGCAGGCGGUCUAUCAAGUUGGAUGUGAAAGCUCCCGGCUUAACUGGGAGAGGUCGUUCAAAACUGUUAGACUAGAGAAUGGAAGAGGGAGGUGGAAUUCCGGGUGUAGUGGUGAAAUGCGUAGAUAUCCGGAGGAACACCAGUGGCGAAAGCGGCCUCCUAGGCCAUUUCUGACGCUAAGACACGAAAGCUAGGGUAGCAAACGGGAUUAGAGACCCCGGUAGUCCUAGCUGUAAACGAUGUAGACUUGGCGUUGGCGGAGUUAAAUCUGCCAGUGCCGUAGCUAACGCGUUAAGUCUACCGCCUGGGGACUACGACCGCAAGGUUAAAACUUAAAUGAAUUGACGGGG
rnacentral:rRNA from 1 species